AGAGUUUGAUCCUGGCUCAGGAUGAACGCUGGCGGUGCGCCUAACACAUGCAAGUCGUGCGAAGCUAACCCAACUUGUUGGGUCAAGACUUAGCGGCGGACGAGUGAGGAACACGUAAGAACCAACCCUUAGGAGGGGGAUAACAGCUGGAAACGGUUGCUAAUACCCCAUAUGCUGAGGAGUGAAAGGUGAAAACCACCUAGGGACGGGCUUGCGUCUGAUUAGCUAGUUGGAGAGGUAAUGGCUCACCAAGGCAACGAUCAGUAGCUGGUCUGAGAGGAUGAUCAGCCACGCUGGAACUGAGACACGGUCCAGACUCCUACGGGAGGCAGCAGUGAGGAAUUUUCCGCAAUGGGCGAAAGCCUGACGGAGCGACACCGCGUGGAGGAUGACGGCCCGUGGGUUGUAAACUCCUUUUCUUAGAGAAGAAUUUUGACGGUAUCUAAGGAAUAAGCAUCGGCUAACUCUGUGCCAGCAGCCGCGGUAAUACAGAGGAUGCAAGCGUUAUCCGGAAUGAUUGGGCGUAAAGCGUCUGUAGGUGGAUUUUUAAGUCUGCUGUCAAAGAUCACGGCUCAACCUUGGAAAGGCAGUAGAAACUAAAAGUCUUGAGUACGGUAGAGGCAGAGGGAAUUCCCGGU
rnacentral:rRNA from 1 species